GACGAACGCUGGCGGCGUACUUAACACAUGCAAGUCGAACGGAAAGGCCCUGCUUUUGUGGGGUGCUCGAGUGGCGAACGGGUGAGUAACACGUGAGUAACCUGCCCUUGACUUUGGGAUAACUUCAGGAAACUGGGGCUAAUACCGGAUAGGAGCUCCUGCUGCAUGGUGGGGGUUGGAAAGUUUCGGCGGUUGGGGAUGGACUCGCGGCUUAUCAGCUUGUUGGUGGGGUAGUGGCUUACCAAGGCUUUGACGGGUAGCCGGCCUGAGAGGGUGACCGGCCACAUUGGGACUGAGAUACGGCCCAGACUCUUACGGGAGGCAGCAGUGGGGAAUAUUGCACAAUGGGCGGAAGCCUGAUGCAGCAACGCCGCGUGCGGGAUGACGGCCUUCGGGUUGUAAACCGCUUUCGCCUGUGACGAAGCGUGAGUGACGGUAAUGGGUAAAGAAGCACCGGCUAACUACGUG
rnacentral:rRNA from 1 species